UACGUAGGGUGCGAGCGUUAAUCGGAAUUACUGGGCGUAAAGCGUGCGCAGGCGGUUUUGUAAGCCGGAUGUGAAAUCCCCGGGCUUAACCUGGGAAUGGCAUUCGGGACUGCAAGGCUGGAGUGCGGCAGAGGAGACUGGAAUUCCGUGGUGUAGCAGUGAAAUGCGUAGAGUAUCAGGAGGAACACCGAUGGCGAAGGCAGGUCUCUGGGCUGGACACUGACGUCA
rnacentral:rRNA from 1 species